GUAAAUAUAGUUUAUAAAAAUAUUAGGUUGUGGACCUAAAGUCAGAGUAUUAAUCUCUUAUUUACC
rnacentral:tRNA from 1 species